UGGGGAAUAUUGCACAAUGGGCGCAAGCCUGAUGCAGCGACGCCGCGUGAGGGAUGACGGCCUUCGGGUUGUAAACCUCUUUCACCAGGGACGAAGCGCGAGUGACGGUACCUGGAGAAGAAGCACCGGCCAACUACGUGCCAGCAGCCGCGGUAAUACGUAGGGUGCGAGCGUUGUCCGGAAUUACUGGGCGUAAAGAGCUCGUAGGCGGUUUGUCGCGUCGUCUGUGAAAUUCUGCAACUCAAUUGUAGGCGUGCAGGCGAUACGGGCAGACUUGAGUACUGCAGGGGAGACUGGAAUUCCUGGUGUAGCGGUGAAAUGCGCAGAUAUCAGGAGGAACACCGGUGGCGAAGGCGGGUCUCUGGGUAGUAACUGACGCUGAGGAGCGAAAGCGUGGGUAGCGAACAGG
rnacentral:rRNA from 1 species